AUACUACUGUGUAUGCUGCUGCUUCUCUGGGUCUAGCCAUACAGAGGGACUGCCACACUUCAAGUGGAUGCUUGGGAAUGUCUGCAAGGGAUCCAGUGAUGUUACCUGUCCUCAAGUCUCACAGCAGUGGGUACCAACACCAGCUCUGAUGGGGGUGACAGGAUUCCAUUUAACAAAGUAUAAUGGAAGGUAUCAAGAAUGGUGCUUCCUUCAUGAAUAGUAUAGACCUUGCCAACGGAUGAAAUUGACAGAAAUAAGAGGGAAUUAUUAAAUCUACUUUGGAGGUUAAGAGAGACCUUUCUUAAACACACAAUAAAUGCAUUAUAGGGGCUCAGAUGUUUCUGGGAAGAUUGUGAAGAUAUAGACUGAUUGGUGUUCAUGUAAUUGUGACGGUAGAGACUGAGAGCAGCAAAAUAUUAUGUAUGCAGUUGACAUCUUACACGAAGAAUUUGGAGUAUGGACAUUACAUGAUUGUCUCUCAGCCACCCUAUGGAAAACUGAAUUAUAUGGCUGUACUUCCCUGGAAUUUCA